rnacentral:lncRNA from 1 species
UUAGGUGUAAUACCACCAUUGAUUUUCCCCUAUUAGUCUUUGUUAAAUUUGCACUUUUCAAAAAAAUGUGCAGAAUUUAUCUUUGUUUCAAAUAAAGAAUUACUUGGCAUGAGUAAAGUUUUAUCCUGUCCAGUACUAUAGAAAAAAAAUCACAUAACAUUUCAUUGCAUAUAAGAAAAUAACCAUCAUUGGAAGUUAACCAAUCAAAUGUCUCCCCUUAUUUUAUCUGUGUACAAGGUUUAGUCACCAUGUAACCUCAAGAUUACAAAAUUUUCUAUA